rnacentral:rRNA from 1 species
ACCUUCGGGCCUCUUGCCAUCAGAUGUGCCCAGAUGGGAUUAGCUAGUAGGUGGGGUAACGGCUCACCUAGGCGACGAUCCCUAGCUGGUCUGAGAGGAUGACCAGCCACACUGGAACUGAGACACGGUCCAGACUCCUACGGGAGGCAGCAGUGGGGAAUAUUGCACAAUGGGCGCAAGCCUGAUGCAGCCAUGCCGCGUGUAUGAAGAAGGCCUUCGGGUUGUAAAGUACUUUCAGCGGGGAGGAAGGUGUUGUGGUUAAUAACCACAGCAAUUGACGUUACCCGCAGAAGAAGCACCGGCUAACUCCGUGCCAGCAGCCGCGGUAAUACGGAGGGUGCAAGCGUUAAUCGGAAUUACUGGGCGUAAAGCGCACGCAGGCGGUCUGUCAAGUCGGAUGUGAAAUCCCCGGGCUCAACCUGGGAACUGCAUUCGAAACUGGCAGGCUGGAGUCUUGUAGAGGGGGGUAGAAUUCCAGGUGUAGCGGUGAAAUGCGUAGAGAUCUGGAGGAAUACCGGUGGC